GACGAACGCUGGCGGCGUGCUUAACACAUGCAAGUCGAACGGUGAAGGGGUCUGCUUUUGUGGGCCCUGGAUGAGUGGCGAACGGGUGAGUAACACGUGAGUAACCUGCCCCCUUCUUCUGGAUAACCGCAUGAAAGUGUGGCUAAUACGGGAUAUUCUGGGUCUGUCGCAUGAUGGGUCUGGGAAAGAUUGCGCCUUUGGGUGUUUUUGGUGGGGGAUGGGCUCGCGGCCUAUCAGCUUGUUGGUGGGGUGAUGGCCUACCAAGGCGGUGACGGGUAGCCGGCCUGAGAGGGUGGACGGUCACACUGGGACUGAGACACGGCCCAGACUCCUACGGGAGGCAGCAGUGGGGAAUAUUGCACAAUGGGCGCAAGCCUGAUGCAGCGACGCCGCGUGAGGGAUGGAGGCCUUCGGGUUGUAAACCUCUCUCGCCAGUGAAGCAGGCCUGCUCCUUGUGGGUGGGUUGACGGUAGCUGGAGAAGAAGCGCCGGCUAACUACGUG
rnacentral:rRNA from 1 species